GGGCGGCGGGCGGGGCCCGGGCCCGGGCGGGGGGUUGAGGCGCGGAGCGGGUGGCGCCGUGGCCGGGCCGCGCUGCCGGCGGGAGGCCGGGCGGUGGGGGCGGCCCUCGGCGCCUCCCUUCGUCCCCACCAGCUGUGCAGGGCACCGCGGGCCCCCGCCGUUACCUGGCGGGCUGGCGGCGGGCUGAGCACUGCAAACCUUUCCCUGUUAUAUUAUUUUAUUUUAAAUACAAGCACACUGCAGCUUGUCAGAAGUCAGUGAGGUGGUGGGUUGGGUUUUUUUUUUUUUGUAUGGAGGUCGGCGUGUAAGUCCUUGUCGCGCCUCUGCAAGCUGAGAACUUCCUUCAUGGGAAGGUUUUUUCAUAAGGACCACAGGUACCGGAUGGUAAAGGCUUUAAUGCCAAUAUGCAGAGAAACAGAUUCCGAAAUCUUAAAGUUUGUUUAAAGCACCAACUUCUUAUUUCAUGAGUCUUUGGAAAGAAGCACUCUGAAAACCUCAGGAAACAAAAAUGUAAAUACUGAGAGUCGGUGUUAAAACUUUGAGAAGCAAAUCUUUGUUUCUUUCUGAUCUGGUGGAAAGAUCCUGGCCCAUGCCCGAUGAGUGUCAAAGCUAUUAAGCUGGCCUGACAGGUUACCUAGGGAUUCCCUUGCCUUGGAGAGCCUUUUGUUAAUGUAAAGCUGAUGUGGCUGUUUUCUGCCUCCGCCCCUAUGGUUCCUGUUGCGUGAAGUAAACACUGUGUGGCCAGAGUGCAGGGAGCAACGAUUUCCCAGCCCUGAGCGUGCUGCAGAGAAAAACUGGUUUCCACCUACUGAGGUGAAAGGAUUAAUGAAUACUUGGCACAUGAAAAAUGAAUAGUGAUAGCAGGAAGAAGAUUGCAUGUAGACAGUGUGAUAAGUGGCAUCACCAGCAGAGAGCACACUGGAACCUCAGAACAAAAGAAAACAGAAAAUCAAUAGCAUAUUUUAACAAUGUGAGCCUGAAACACAUGAAGAUACAUCUGAAAUAA
rnacentral:lncRNA from 1 species